rnacentral:rRNA from 1 species
GGUAUGGGAUGAGCUUGCGUCCGAUUAGCUAGUUGGCGGGGCAACGGCCCACCAAGGCGACGAUCGGUAGCCGGCCUGAGAGGGUGAUCGGCCACAUUGGGACUAAGAUACGGCCCAGACUCCUACGGGAGGCAGCAGUAGGGAAUAUUGCACAAUGGGGGAAACCCUGAUGCAGCAACGCCACGUGUGGGAAGAAGCAUUUCGGUGUGUAAACCACUGUCGUGAGGGAAUAAGGCGUCUUCUCGGAGACGUUGAAUGUACCUCGAAAGGAAGCACCGGCAAACUUCGUGCCAGCAGCCGCGGUAAUACGAGGGGUGCAAGCGUUGUUCGGAAUCACUGGGCGUAAAGGGAGCGUAGGCGGAGAUGCAAGCGGACUGUACAAUACCGGGGCCCAACCCCGGGCCUGCAGUUCGGACUGCACCUCUUGGAUAGUUCAGGGGCAGGC